rnacentral:rRNA from 1 species
ACCGCAUGUCUAGUAUAAAUAACUUUAUAUUGUGAAACUGCGAAUGGCUCAUUAAAUCAGUUAUGAUCUACGUGACAAAUUCUUUACUACUUGGAUAACCGGGGUAAUUCUAGAGCUAAUACAUGCAAAAAAGCCCUGACUCACGAAGGGGUGCACUUAUUAGAUAAAACCAACGCGGGGUAAAACCUGUUUCGUGGUGAAUCAUAAUAAUUAAGCGGAUCGCAUGGCCUUGAGCCGGCGACGGUCCACUCGAUUUUCUGCCCUAUCAUGUUGAGAUGUAAGAUAGAGGCUUACAAUGCCUAUAACGGUAACGGGGAAUUAGGGUUCGAUUCCGRAGAGGGAGCCUGAGAAACGGGCUACCACAUCCAAGGAAGGCAGCAGGCGCGCAAAUUACCCAAUCCCGACCGGGGAGGUAGUGACAAUACAUAACAAUGCAGGGCCUUUACGGUCUGCAAUUGGAAUGAGUACAAUUUAAAUCCCUUAACGAGGAUCAAUUGGAGGGCAAGUCUGGUGCCAGCAGCCGCGGUAAUUCCAGCUCCAAUAGCGUAUAUUAAAGUUGUUGCAGUUAAAACGUCCGUAGUCAAACUUUAGUCUUASCGGCGCGGUGGCCUGGUCUUCAUUGAUCAAGCUCGCUGUCGCUGGAGACUCCACGUCCGCUGGCUCCUAGUCCUCGUGGCUAGGGUUUUGUGGACAAUUCCAUGAGCAAAUCAGAGUGUUUAAAGCAGGCUUUUAAGCUUGAAUGUGUUAGCAUGGAAUAAUGAAAUAUGACUUUAGUCCUAUUUUCGUUGGUUUAGGUACUAUAGUAAUGAUUAAUAGAAACRGUUGGGGGCAUUUGUAUUUGGCCGCUAGAGGUGAAAUUCUUGGAUUGCCGAAGACAAACUACUGCGAAAGCAUUUGACCCAGGACGUUUUCAUUGAUCAAGGCUAAAGUUAAGGGAUCGAAGACGAUUAGAUACCGUCGUAGUCUUAACCACAAACUAUCCGACUAGAGAUUGGGCGUGUUUCUUUUGACUCGCUCACAUCUUAGCGAAAGUAAAGUUUUUGGGUUCUGGGGGAGUAUGGACGCAAGGCUGAAACUUAAAGGAAUUGACGGAAGGGCCACCAGAGGAGGCCUGCGCUUAAUUUGACUCAACACGGGGAAACUCACCAGGUCCAGACAUAGUAAGGAUUGACAGAUUGAAAGCUCUUUCUAGAUUCUAUGGGUGGUGGUGCAUGUCCGUUCUUAGUUCGUGGAGUGAUUUGUCUGGUUAAUUCCGAUAACGAACGAGACCUUAUUCUGCUAAUUACACAGGCUAACUCUUUCGGGUUGGUUUAUGUUUAUCAUUUAACUGUGUUCUUAGAGAGACUAUCUGCGAGCGAGAGUU